CAGCAGCCGCGGGAAUACGAAGGGGGCUAGCGUUGUUCGGAUUAACUGGGCGUAAAGGGUGCGUAGGCGGGGACUUAAGUCAGGGGUGAAAUCCCAAGGCUCAACCUUGGAACUGCCUUUGAUACUGGGUUUCUUGAGUCCGGGAGAGGUGAGUUGAACUGCGAGUGUAGAGGUGAAAUUCGUAGAUAUUCGCAAGAACACCAGUGGCGAAGGCGGCUCACUGGCCCGGUACUGACGCUGAGGCACGAAAGCGUGGGGAGCAAACAGGAUUAGAUACCCCUGUAGUCCCUGUCUCUUAUAC
rnacentral:rRNA from 1 species